CCUACGGGAGGCAGCAGUGGGGAAUUUUGGACAAUGGGCGCAAGCCUGAUCCAGCCAUGCCGCGUGAGUGAAGAAGGCCUUCGGGUUGUAAAGCUCUUUCGGACGGGAAGAAAUCGCUAGGGCUAAUAUCCCUGGCGGAUGACGGUACCGUAAUAAGAAGCACCGGCUAACUACGUGCCAGCAGCCGCGGUAAUACGUAGGGUGCGAGCGUUAAUCGGAAUUACUGGGCGUAAAGCGUGCGCAGGCGGUUUUGUAAGACAGGCGUGAAAUCCCCGGGCUUAACCUGGGAACUGCGCUUGUGACUGCAAGGCUAGAGUAUGGCAGAGGGGGGUGGAAUUCCACGUGUAGCAGUGAAAUGCGUAGAGAUGUGGAGGAACACCGAUGGCGAAGGCAGCCCCCUGGGCCAAUACUGACGCUCAUGCACGAAAGCGUGGGUAGCAAACAGGAUUAGAUACCCUGGUAGUCCACGCCGUAAACGAUGAUAACUAGCUGCCGGGGCACUUGGUGUUUCGGUGGCGCAGCUAACGCAUUAAGUUAUCCGCCUGGGGAGUACGGUCGCAAGAUUAAAACUCAAAGGAAUUGACGG
rnacentral:rRNA from 1 species